ACCAUGGAUACUGGUUAUUAUUCAGAAAAUAUGAAAAUAACUUUUCGCGUUUUCUUAAAAUUUAUUACAGUUGAGCAUGCAAAUUUCGAAUUUGUAUUUUCUUUCGAGCCAAAAGAACGCUACAGGAAAACCCGUUCCGGCAAAUCUCAUACAUUAUUGUGUUGCGCGGAUAUCGCUCGGUCAGAUUGAUUCGUUCAUUACAGAGGAUUGGGCUACACACUUCGCUAAGAUGUGACGGAUCAUCGAAAGCACUUGUUACUAGAAUAAGUGUCAAAGUAGUAAAAGCUGGAAGUGGACAUACCGGAAGGUGGAUCCACCCGAUCCCCUUUCUCUUAAAUAAGGCUGGAUUGUAAUGUCCAACUCGAGGACCAACGGGUCGGGAAGACAGGCGGCUAAACAUUCCGCGGACCAGAUUUGGAAUACUG